rnacentral:lncRNA from 1 species
GGGGGGUGUUGAGCUACAAGAUUAUUUGGCUUCAAGUCCCAUACACAUACAUUGAGUUUUUGCUGUAUAUUUAGUGCAUAUUAUUUGUAUAUCAGGUAUACUUUGUAGUUGGGCUAAUUUGUAUAUUUCAGCCCACUUGUUUUUGGCUUUAAUUCCGGGUUCUGUUCUCUGGCCCGAUUUGGCCCAUUUAUGUAAUUAU